rnacentral:tRNA from 1 species
GGGGUUGUGGCUUAGCAGUAGAGCGCUUGCCUAGCAUGUAUGAGGCACUGGGUUCGAUCCCCAGCAUCACCU